rnacentral:lncRNA from 1 species
AGUGCCAUCUCAAUAUCUGCUUUAAAGAUGGGAAUGGAGAUAUUGGCAAUAAAAAGGAACACAGUGCAAAUUUGACAAGUAAACGUGUAUUUUGGACAAUUCCUGAGUGACAGGCAAUGAAUGUGCAUAACAGUGGAGCAGAAGUGGAUGGAACUUCAUUUGUGUAUGAUGAUCAUCUGUCUCUCAGUAAGCUGUGGCAUCAAGUUGUGAAUGUAAUGUGUGUGACUGAAGCCCAGU